rnacentral:rRNA from 1 species
ACCCGCUGAACUUAAGCAUAUCAAUAAGCGGAGGAAAAGAAACCAACAGGGAUUGCCCCAGUAACGGCGAGUGAAGCGGCAGCAGCUCAAAUUUGAAAUCCGGCAUUCCCCUCCACGGGGGCCCGAGUUGUAAUUUGCAGAGGGUGCUUCGGCGUCGGCGCCGGGCCAGGUCCCCUGGAACGGAGCGUCCGAGAGGGUGAGAGCCCCGUGUCCGCCCGGGUCGCCUUCGCCGCGUGAAGCCCCUUCGACGAGUCGAGUUGUUUGGGAAUGCAGCUCAAAGCGGGAGGUAAACCCCUUCUAAAGCUGAACACAGGCCGGAGACCGAUAGCGCACAAGUAGAGUGAUCGAAAGAUGAAAAGCACUUUGGAAAGAGAGUCAAACAGCACGUGAAAUUGUUGAAAGGGAAGCACUUGCCGCCAGACAUGCCGCGGCCGUACAGGCGAUCCUCCUGGAGGAUGGCCGCACGCGGUCGCCGGCGGGCCAGCGUCGGUCGGGGCGGCCGGUCGAAGGUUCCGGGAACGUGGCCCCCCUUCGGGGGGGUGUUACAGCCCGGGGCGCAACACGGCCAGCUCCCGGUCGAGGACUGCGCGCUCUUUGCGCGAGGACGCUGGCGUAAUGGCCGCAAGCGACCCGUCUUGAAACACGGACCAAGGAGUCUGACAUCCGUGCGAGUGUUAGGGCGUCGAAACCCACACGCGCAAUGAAAGUGAACGGCGGUGGCAACCCCGGCCCGGCCGGGGCGCAGCACCGACCGAUCCUGAUGUCCUCGGAUGGAUUUGAGUAGGAGCACGGCUGUCGGGACCCGAAAGAUGGUGAACUAUACGCGGAUAGGGUGAAGCCAGAGGAAACUCUGGUGGAGGCUCGCAGCGGUUCUGACGUGCAAAUCGAUCGUCAAAUCUACGUAUAGGGGCGAAAGACUAAUCGAACCGUCUAGUAGCUGGUUCCUGCCGAAGUUUCCCUCAGGAUA